UGGGCGAGUUUCCUCGUCGCAGGGGCCGUGGGGCCUGACGCCACAACGCCCCCGCUCUCUGAAGGUUCAAAGGUGUGAAUAAGCCCGGACGCGGCCUUCGCCUCCAAAGCGGCCGAAACAGGACGCCUUGGAGCAGCUGACUCUUGUACUCACCAUCCUUCCCCGUCCUACUCUGCUUUUCAAAAUGCGGUCUGAACCAUCGCAUCAGAUGCACCCGAGGCGGUUGUUAAAAGUGCAGAACCCGGGAGGCCUGCCCCCUGAAGCCCAAGGCUUGCGCCCAUUCGUAGUUGAACACAAACAGUAUACAAGGCGGAGGAGAACCGGGAAGGAGGCCCAGUCUCCAGGGAAUUUAAUUCCUGAGCUUUUGGUCGUCUCUUGACCCAGACUAGCAAAGCUGACUAAUGUGAGACCGCACCCUAAAAGUACUGUGUGUGUUGACCCUGAAGGCUUAGUAAGACAUCGCGAUCCUGGUCAUUUGGGCGCACUGAGUCAUGGCCCAACAGAUUUACUCCGUUAUUAAAUUAGAAGAAGCCAACAGAAGAGUGACCCAUGUGCAUGGACAGGGCUGGAGUGAUUCUUGCUUCAACAGCAGUCCCUUCAACCUUGCUUGAAUGGAGGCCGCGUAGAUCACAAGCUCCGCAGACUACAAGAUAUCUUUGCUCAGAAGGAACCACAAGGUCACUGACAGCUAGAUUCAACAUUGUUCCCCCGCAUAUCAAAGCUAAGCAGAGUUGUAAAUUGUUUCAACUUAUGAAUAGAACUUCACUGAACCACACCAUAGCUAUAGAGUUGACCUGCAGUUUUACCCUGCUAAGGGAGUUAUUUUGUAGUGACAAAACUUUUCUUCUGGUGGCCUGACACAUCAUGGGACUUGGAGGUUGGGAAUUCUUCCUUCCCAUCAAAUGUUGGUUCUAAAUCCACAGAACUGUUUGAGAAUCCAGAUACAAAAUGAUGAUACUAUUGAUGAUUUGAUUCGAAAAGAUGAAAGAGAUUGACAGCACAGAGAUGCCAAAAAUUUUAAAUAUAAUCUUUAAAAACUUCAUUCUUAAAAUGUGAAAGGAAGAUACACACAAGGAAAAGGCAACUGCCCUGGACACUGGCAUGUCCAAAUGUAAUGACUAGACCUGCUGCAGCCAUCUUGCAACCAGAGAGGAGGCAACUUAAAAACAAAGUCAACACAAUGAAAUGACUCAGAAGAAAGUGGAAAGACCUGAGUACUUGUUGAUGCUAUUGAGCUGAUGAAUUAAACCUGGUGUAUACCAACUAUGGGCUUCUUUUCAUCUAGAUUCUAAGGUAAUACUGUAAAUGUCUUUAUUGCUUAAACCAGUGUUUCAUUAUUUUCUGUAGAAAGCCUCCCAAUUCAGGUAAGUAUCCAUUAACCACCCCUUAGUCCAAAGGAUGUUUUUUCAUGCUUUUCUGAUUUCUGCUGAAGUUAUUUUUUGAGAAUAACAGAAAAUCCCAUCUCCUUAAAUAUGACCAAAGGUCUCUAACUCAGAAAAAUCAUGAUUAUGAAACAUAGGAAGCACUGGGUAGGUGGGUUGAAUGAGGUACCUGGCGAUGGAGGGGAUCCUGGACCAGGUAAGGUGAAGUGUGAAAGCUAAGCAAGAGAUGCAGAUGAAAAUCAGAGAGAAAGUAACUCUUCUGAGCAGACCUUUAGAAAGCCAGUUUUAGGGACAUACGAGCUACAUCUUUGGGGAGAAUUGUGGAACCCACAUUAUAGUAAUCGUGUCAAUUGCAUCCAUGAUCUUUUCUCAAGAGGGGAAAAUGAGUGUUUAUAGGAUGACAGGUGGUUCUUGUCAUUCUUGUUUUCUUCAGAAACAGACCAAAUUCUGUCAUGUCUCAUGAUGACAUGAUAAUCUAGAAAUGAAAGGCUUGAUUUCAAUUUUUCCUGUAAAUACUCAAGAGGCCCAUGGUAUUGCUCUCUUUCAGUCUGGCACAAGUCUCACAAAAUAGAAGAUCGCCUUAACAUUUAAUGUAGAGUAAUUCUCACCCAUGGCCUCUUGCCUUUUCCAAACAUCUUCAUAAAGACGUAGUAAUAUUCUACUGUGAAUUAUAUGAGAGCUGUCCAUAGGGAUUUAAACAGUAAAUCUAACAAAUAGGCUGCUCUUGGCCUCAGGACUCAGAAGUACUUAUUUAUUCUUACAGUUUAGGCAUUUGAGGAAAUAUUAAUUCUUGAAUAUAUUAUAUUCAAUUAAGUUUGAAGCCAUAAAGAGGAAGGAAAUAAUAAGAUUAGAGCAGAAAUGAAUGAAAUAGAGAAUAGAAAAAAAUAGUCAUUAAAAAAAAAGCGUUCUUUGAAAAGACCAAUGAAUUAACAAAUCUUUAGCUGGAUUAACUAAGGAAAAAAGACAGUAUAUUCAAAUUACUAAAAUCAGAAAUUAAUAAGGGGACAUUGAUGAAGGUAAUAAUGUAGAUAAUGCUAUCAUUUAUAAUUCAUUUGCCAAAUACAAAGGAUUGUACUAAAACCUUUACAUCCUUUAUUUCAAAAACCUUUACAACCUUUUUAGAUAGGUAUCAUUAUCCUCUUUUACAAAUGAGAAAACAGGCUCUUUGAGGUUAAAUAAUAUAUUUAAGGUCAUGCAGUCAUGGUAUAAAUAUGCAUGUUCUGAAAGAGAAUGGAAAAGUCAGGAGUUAUUUUUAAAUUUCUAUGAUAGAGUAAGGGUAAUUGUUAUCAAUAAGAAAAUGAAAGUCUGAGCGAAAGAAAGAAAGCAGAAAGAGACAUUGGGUUAGACAAUUUUCUUUAUUCAGGAUAGCUAGGCUGUAGUUCAGACAAGAAUUCAGGAAAGCAAUAGGCAACCAGACAUUUCUUUGUGUAUAUUUGAAAGUUCAUAAACCUUAGAUGUUCUUAAAAGAAGAAUACAUUUUUUAAAAUUUCUGGAAAAAAAAGAAUGUUCUGUUCUAUAUUAAAACUUCUUCAUAAGAACAUUGUUACAUUGUACAUUAGGCACAAAUUUUGUUUAUUGAAGUUUUUUGUAAUUUUUAUUAUUCAUACAACUGGAAUAUUUAAUGUAUAUUUUACAUGUAUGUCUUGCAAGUAAUAGCAAAUCUACUGGACAUUCUUUGAAGCAAGAAACAGUGGUGCUUAGUACACGGCUACUUUUAUUUAUUAUCUCUGUUUUGCAUAGGAAUACAAUAAAACAUUUAAAUGUA